AGUGAACGCUGGCGGUAGGCCUAACACAUGCAAGUCGAACGGCAGCACAGUAAGAGCUUGCUCUUACGGGUGGCGAGUGGCGGACGGGUGAGGAAUACAUCGGAAUCUACUUUUUCGUGGGGGAUAACGUAGGGAAACUUACGCUACUACCUCAUACGACCUACGGGUGAAAGCAGGGGAUCUUCGGACCUUGCGUGAUUGAAUGAGCCGAUGUCGGAUUAGCUAGUUGGCGGGGUAAAGGCCCACCAAGGCGACGAUCCGUAGCUGGUCUGAGAGGAUGAUCAGCCACACUGGAACUGAGACACGGUCCAGACUCCUACGGGAGGCAGCAGUGGGGAAUAUUGGACAAUGGGCGCAAGCCUGAUCCAGCCAUACCGCGUGAGUGAAGAAGGCCUUCGGGUUGUAAAGCCCUUUUGUUGGGAAAGAAAAGAAGCAGGUUAAUACCCCGCUGUUCUGACGGUACCCAAAGAAUAAGCACCGGCUAACUUCGUG
rnacentral:rRNA from 1 species